AUCGCUGGAGACAAAGUAAGCUUUCAAGUUUGAUUAAUUUCAUGCAUAUAAUUUUGUUGCAUAAAACUUCUUGUUUAAAUUAAUUGUGCAUAUUCAUCUCAAAUUAACUUAAGGGCAAUACCCAUUAACAAGAUAAGGUGGAGAUUUCAUCAUCCUUUCUUAGCCUAAAAAUAACCAACCAACAUCCAUCAUUCACCCAAGCCCAAUUAAAAUUCAGUAGAUGUUGACCCCUA
rnacentral:lncRNA from 1 species